rnacentral:rRNA from 1 species
AUUGAACGCUGGCGGCAUGCCUUACACAUGCAAGUCGAACGGCAGCAUGGAGGAGCUUGCUCCUCUGAUGGCGAGUGGCGAACGGGUGAGUAAAGCAUCGGAACGUACCGUGUAGUGGGGGAUAACGUAGCGAAAGUUACGCUAAUACCGCAUACGCACUGAGGUGGAAAGCAGGGGACCUUCGGGCCUACCGCGAUUGGAUGCACCCAUGUGGGAUUAGCUAGUUGGUGAGGUAACGGCUCACCAAGGCGACGAUCUCUAGCUGGUCUGAGAGGACGAUCAGCCACACUGGGACUGAGACACGGCCCAGACUCCUACGGGAGGCAGCAGUGGGGAAUUUUGGACAAUGGACGCAAGUCUGAUCCAGCCAUUCCGCGUGCAGGAUGAAGGCCCUCGGGUUG